rnacentral:lncRNA from 1 species
UUUUGUAUUCUUCUUCAAUCGCUCUUCAAGGUAUGCCCAUCAAUGCUUAGGCGCGGCGACGGUUUGAUGUCCGUCUACUUCUGAUGGAAAGUCACAAAAUACCCAAAUAUUAUACGCAGCGAGAGAGAGAAUAUCUCUGCCUUCUUCCUCCAAUUUCUGUCUGCAUACAGGUUCAUUUUCUGAUUCUUUUCUCAUGUUUCUAGCAUUCUCUCGAUAAUCUCUAAUAAAGUAUUUAUUUUUUUUCGAUUGAUUUGGUAAUUCGUUGAUGUUUUUCUGCAUUUUUACAACUAAUUGAUUACAUUGAAUUGAAUUAUUUUUUUUAAUCUUGCCUUCUUUUCCCCUGAUUAAAUUGAAUAGCGAUUUCAUUGUCUUCUUAAAGAAUUCAUUUCCAGGAUUUGAUAAUUUUAUUCCAGAAUUUGAUUGUCCUUUUUGUUCUCCUUCUUGAAUCAAAUCUUAAUAUGGAAGUUGGGUGGAUAUAAUUCAUGGACAUAUUGUUUUCAUUGAUUGAAACAAUGAAAUUUGAUUCUAGCAUUUUAUGUUGGGAGUUUUGAUUUGGGUGAUUUUAUGUUUUUAAUUUGGGGGGUUUUUUGAUUUUAAGGUUUAGAAGAAGUGUGUUUCAGAAAUUAAACAAAAAUUUGUCAUUUUGGUUGGGUAUGUCUUUAAUCCAAGUGGACAAAUAAACGCCGUUAAGCUGCCACAUCAAUUUUUCGUCGUAUACUUGGAAUUUUUCGUUAAUUAAGGGUAACAUAUUGGAAAUGAGUGAUGGAUGUGUAAACGUGUAAAUAGAUGAGUGCGUAGUGGGUUACCAGUUUUUGUUCAUAGAACGAGUAGUAACCCAUGAUGAAAUUGAGUGAGCAUUCAUUUAAUUAACUCCUGUACAAAUUUGUGCUUGUCAAGCUACUAAGCAACCAUUUGUUCCUUUUGCUGAUUAUCAUUUCCGAGAGUCGUUGAUAUUUGGUUUUUGAAUAUGAAAUUCGAGAUCAAUCCACUGUUACAUGGUAUACAAUGAACAUAAAUAUAUUUCUAUAAUUUCAGGAAGCAGUGAUGUAGUGGAUAAGCAACAAUAUCGCCUUUUUAGGUAGUAGUUUUCUUAUGGUAGCAACAAUAUACGUUCAUAUUACUAAGGUAGCUCAUUGAGAUUGAACAUAAUAUCAUAUUAAUAGUGGAAAUAUGCUUCAGUAAUUAUUGAAUUUUUUAAAUUUCUUGUGUGUUACCUGGCAUUCCUAAGCUUGCAAUUGGAAUCUAUAAUUAGAGAAAGCUGUUUGACUUUUAUUGUGUAAUUUUUUGAAAUUCGUGUGUUAUCUGUAACUAUGUAUGCCUUGAUUGAAGUAGAGACUUUUGCAUUUCGAGUAAUGAGCAAGUAUAAAAAGGUAAUGUGAAUAUCAUAUAAUAGAUGCAGCAAAAAGUGAAAACGUUCAAAGAACUGGAGAAAAUGAUAGGACAUUGGAUGAUGAAAUAAAUGAGUUUAAGGUAGGAUUUUUUUUAAUAGUUAAUUUUCUGACUAUAUGAAGUCCAUUUGUGUGUUCGAUUUUUAUUAUUGGAUUUGCAGGGAUAGGUGCUGGACACUUGUCAAGGACUCUAGAUCUUCCUAUCCAAGGGGCAUGUAAACAAAUUAGGACCUCUUGUAUUGUGUGUACUACUCGAGAGAACAUUAGAGUUUUAUAUAAUUAACUGAGCAAACAAGCUACAAGUUUUGGAGUCAAUAGUUGUUAGUUCAUGACAUCGGAGCCAUCAUUCAGUCACAUUGCCCCCAAUGAAUAUGGUUUUUAGUUUAAAUUUAGAUGUAACCAUGCUUAGUGAAUGGUUUUUAUUUAUGUUUUGAUUAUAUGUUUCGGUUUCAAUGUUACAGUGAUUGAUAUUACAUAUUUUAAUUAAUAUAUUGUCUUUUUGUAUCUUUA